AUCCGGAUUUACUGGGUUUAAAGGGUGCGUAGGUGGGUCUGUAAGUCAGUGGUGAAAUCUCCGAGCUUAACUCGGAAACUGCCAUUGAUACUAUAGGUCUUGAAUUAUCUGGAGGUAAGCGGAAUAUGUCAUGUAGCGGUGAAAUGCUUAGAUAUGACAUAGAACACCAAUUGCGAAGGCAGCUUACUACGGAUUGAUUGACACUGAGGCACGAAAGCGUGGGGAUCAAACAGG
rnacentral:rRNA from 1 species